rnacentral:rRNA from 1 species
AGUGAACGCUGGCGGCGUGCUUAACACAUGCAAGUCGAACGAGAACGGGUUAUAGCUUGCUAUAAUUGUCAGCUAAGUGGCGCAUGGGUGAGUAAUGUAUAGGUAAUAUGCCUCUUACUAAGGGAUAACAAAUGGAAACGUUUGCUAAUACCUUAUACUCCUUAUUAACAGAAGUUAAUAAGGGAAAGAUUUAUUGGUAAGAGAUUAGCCUGUAUUGUAUCAGUUAGUUGGUGGGGUAAUGGCUUACCAAGACUAUGACACAUAACUGGUUUGAGAGGAUGAUCAGUCACACUGGAACUGAGACACGGUCCAGACUCCUACGGGAGGCAGCAGUGGGGAGUAUUGCACAAUGGACGAAAGUCUGAUGCAGCAACGCCGCGUGGAGGAUGACACAUUUCGGUGCGUAAACUCCUUUUAUAUGAGAAGAUAAUGACGGUAUUAUAUGAAUAAGCACCGGCUAACUCCGUGCCAGCCGCCGCGGUAA